rnacentral:lncRNA from 1 species
UUUCAACUUUCAUUUGUCCGGCCCUUCGCUUCGCGCCUCGAUCAAUCAAGCAGGGCCACAGCUUGGUUUGGAUAGGCCAUACUAGGCUUGGCCUUACACUUUAUGCGCUGGCCAGGCCGAAAAUGGAACGCGCUAGUAAUUACUAUUUGUACUUCUAGAGUUUAAUUUUUAAUGACUUAAGCAUACAAAUUACAUAAGCAGAGGUUUAUUUGCUUUUCCUUCUCAGUUUGCGGGUACUGCUUUUCUGGCUACCUACUGUUCAUACUUUCCGAGAUCAGAGAGUGAGUUCCGCUCAAUCUCUGAGGCUAUGUGCUGUCUUGCCGAGUCGGGUACGAUCAGUGGCGCGUGACGCGUGUGGUGCAGUGUGGUUAUGGUGUGGUGUGCACGGGAUGAGUGCCAACCUUGCCGAUAGCUGGUGUUCGAAGGACGUCACGUCGUAUAACAAGGUGUUAUAUACACCAGCGCAAGCGCCAACACGGACAGAAAGAAAAUGGGGCCAAAGCGUGUACUAAGUGCGGAGGAGAUAGAAGCUCGGAAGAAACGUCGAGCGGAGCAGGAACGUCGUCGUUAUGCAGCGAAGUGUGGCUCCGAACGCGAGCUUCUGUUGGCUCGAAAACGCGAAGCGGAGCGGCGUCGGGUAGCGGCAAUGAGCCCCGAGGAACGUAGCGAACAUUUAGCACAGAAACGCGAAGUGCAAAUGCGUCGAUCCGAUGCCGUGAGGCAGCAGCGGAUCUGGGCCGUAUUCGCCUCGCUAUCGGUGUACUGCAGCACUCACGGAACUCUGCCUGUUGAAUCUACAAAAGCUGUGCAGACAGAGGCCACAGGUUGCUUCAGUGGUAGGAUGGAUGUUGCAGUUGGGACAACAAUCGUUAACAAGGGUGUGUGCCAGUCAACCCAGACAUCGCCUGCUGCUGAGAAGGUGCACAGAUGGGCAGAUACCAUAGACCUUGAUGGCCACGGCAGUGGCCCUCAUGUGCAGGGGAUUUAAGGUUCCAGAUGAGCGGCCUGGUGAUUACAAUGGGCACAGGUCACUGCCUGCUGGACCCACCACAGUCAUGCAAGAGGACAACGCUGCACAAUUCAACCAGAAAGCAGACGUUACUAUUUAUUCCACAUGGUGCAAGGGCAUCUCCAAAGUGACAGAGGCCGCAUUAUACACUCUGAAGGUCUCCACAGGAAUGCAAUCUUAAGAUUUAGAUGAUUGCUGUGAUGUCUCCUCAUUCUGUAGGUGUCACUUCCAGUCGAAGGUGCCUCCUUACACUUAUUGAUAUUAUCAUCAACAUAAAGGGACCAUCAUGAGGCAGAUCAGCUGCUCAGUGGAAACUUUGCCGUCAACAAAAAGUCUUUGUCUGAAA